rnacentral:piRNA from 1 species
UGUUUAUCUGGGUGACUCAUUAUUC